CAAUAGCGUAUAUUAAAGUUGUUGCAGUUAGAACGCUCGUAGUCGGAUUUCGGGGCGGGCCGACCGGUCUGCCGAUGGGUAUGCACUGGUCGGCGCGUCCUUCCUUCCGGAGACCGCCCCUACUCUUAACUGAGCGGGGGCGGGAGACGGGACUUUUACUUUGAAAAAAUCAGAGUGUUUCAAGCAGGCAGCUCGCUCUUGCAUGGAUUAGCAUGGGAUAAUGAAAUAGGACUUUGGUGCUAUUUUGUUGGUUUCGAACACCGAAGUAAUGAUGAGAAGGGACAGUCAGGGGCACUCGUAUUCCGCCGAGAGAGGUGAAAUUCUCAGACCAGCGGAAGACGAACCACUGCGAAAGCAUUUGCCAGGGAUGUUUUCACUGA
rnacentral:rRNA from 1 species